GAUGAACGCUGGCGGCGGGCCUAAUACAUGCAAGUCGAGGGAACAGACGAGGGGCGUGCGCCUCUGACGUUAGCGGCGGACGGGUGGGUGAGACGUGGGUAACCUACCUAUAAGACUGGGAGAACUUCGGGAGACCGGGGCGAACACCGGAUAAUAUAUUGAACCGGAUGGUUCAAGAGUUAAAGGCGGUUUUGCGGGCAGUUAGAGAGGGAUCCGCGCCGCUUUCGCUAGUUGGUAAGGUAAGGGCUUACCAAGGCGACGAUGCGUAGCCGACCGGAGCGGGUGGUCGGCCCCCCUGGACCUGAGCCACGGCCCAGACCCCUCCGGGACGCAGCAGUGGGGAAUCUUCCGCAAUGGGCGAAAGCCUGGCGGGGCCCCGCCGCGUGAGUGAUGAAGGUCUUCCGAUCGUAAUACUCUGUUAUUAGGGAAGAACAAAUGUGUAAGUAACUAUGCACGUCUUGCCGGUACCUAAUCAGAAAGCCCCGGCUAACUCCGUG
rnacentral:rRNA from 1 species